rnacentral:lncRNA from 1 species
UGCAGGAGACUGCAGUUUUAUUCUUACUCAAAUCAGACUCCCUGAGCAUUCUCAGGGAGCUGAGUUUUUAAGGAUAACUUGGUGGGUGGUGGGAAGCCAGUGAGCCAGCGGUGCUGAUUGGUCAAGGAUGAAAUCAGAGGGAAUCAAAGCUGUCAUCUUGCACUGAGUCAGUUCCUGGGUGGGGGCCACAAGAUCAGAUGAGCCAGUUGAUUGAUCUGGUGGUGCCAGCUGAUCCAUCAAGGGCAGGGUCUGCAAAUAUCUCAAGCGCUGACCUUAGGAGCAGUUUAGGGAGGGUCCGAAUCUUAUAGCCUCCAGCUGCAUAACUCCUAAACCAUAAUUUCUUUUUUGUUUGUUUGUUUGUUUUGUUUUUUUGAGACAGAGUUUUGCUCUUGUUGCCCCAGGCUGGAAUGCAAUGGCGUGAUCUCAGCUCACCACAACCUCCGCCUCCCGGGUUCAAGCGAUUCUCCUACCUCAGCCUCCCGAGUAGCUGGGAUUACAGGCAUGUGCUACCACACCCAGCUAAUUUUGCAUUUUUUAGUAGAGACGGUGU